rnacentral:rRNA from 1 species
AAUUGGAGGGCAAGUCUGGUGCCAGCAGCCGCGGUAAUUCCAGCUCCAAUAGCGUAUAUUAAAGUUGUUGCAGUUAAAAAGCUCGUAGUUGAAUUUCGGGAUCAAUAUUUCGGUCAUGCCGUUGGUAUGCACUGUUAUCAUUGAUUUCUCACCUUCUAAAGAACCGUAAUGCCAUUAAUUUGGUGUUACGGGGAAUUAGGACUGUUACCUUGAAAAAAUUAGAGUGUUUAAAGCAGGCUCACGCUUGAAUACAUUAGCAUGGAAUAAUGAAAUAGGACAUCCGAUUCUAUUUUGUUGGUUUCUAGGAUCGAUGUAAUGAUUAAUAGGGAUAGUUGGGGGCAUUAGUAUUCAAUUGUCAGAGGUGAAAUUCUUGGAUUUAUUGAAGACUAACUACUGCGAAAGCAUUUGCCAAGGAUGUUUUCAUUAAUCAAGAACGAAAGUUAGGGGGUCGAAGACGAUCAGAUACCGUCGUAGUCUUAACCAUAAACUAUGCCGACUAGGGAUCGGAUGAUGUUAAUUUUUUAAUGACUCAUUCGGCGCCUUACGGGAAACCAAAGUGU